rnacentral:rRNA from 1 species
UACAGAGGUCCCAAGCGUUGUUCGGAUUCACUGGGCGUAAAGGGUGCGUAGGCGGUCGGGUAAGUCUGGCGUGAAAUCUCCGGGCCUAACCCGGAAACUGCGUUGGAAACUGCCUGGCUAGAGGAAUGGAGGGGAGACUGGAAUACUUGGUGUAGCAGUGAAAUGCGUAGAUAUCAAGUGGAACACCAGUGGCGAAGGCGAGUCUCUGGACAGUUCCUGACGCUGAGGCACGAAAGCCAGGGGAGCAAACGGG